CCCCUACGGGUGGCAGCAGUGGGGAAUCUUGCGCAAUGCGCGAAAGCGUGACGCAGCAACGCCGCGUGGGGGAAGACGGCCUUCGGGUUGUAAACCCCUUUCAGGAGGGACGAAGGUUCGCCGGUGAAUAGCCGUGCGGAUUGACGGUACCUCCACAAGAAGCUCCGGCUAACUACGUGCCAGCAGCCGCGGUAAUACGUAGGGAGCAAGCGUUGUCCGGAAUCAUUGGGCGUAAAGCGCGCGUAGGUGGCCACAUAAGUCCGCUGUGAAAGGCAAAGGCUCAACCUUUGAAAGCCGGUGGAUACUGUGUGGCUAGAGUACGGAAGAGGCGAGUGGAAUUCCUGGUGUAGCGGUGGAAUGCGCAGAUAUCAGGAGGAACACCAAUAGCGAAGGCAGCUCGCUGGGACGUUACUGACACUGAGGCGCGAAAGCGUGGGGAGCGAACAGGAUUAGAUACCCCAGUAGUC
rnacentral:rRNA from 1 species